rnacentral:rRNA from 1 species
UACAGAGGGUGCAAGCGUUAUUCGGAAUUACUGGGCAUAAAGAGCGCGUAGGCGGUCUGAUAAGUCCGAUGUGAAAGCCCUGGACUCAAUCCAGGAAGUGCAUCGGAUACUGUCAGACUAGAGUACAGGAGGGGAGAGCGGAAUUCCUGGUGUAGAGGUGAAAUUCGUAGAUAUCAGGAGGAACAACAGUGGCGAAGGCGGCUCUCUGGGCUGUUACUGACGCUGAGGCGCGAAAGCGUGGGGAGCAAACAGG